rnacentral:rRNA from 1 species
AGGUCACUGACAUUAGAUACCCGCGUAGUCCAGGGUGUAAACGCUGCAGACUUGGUGUUGGAGGCCCUUUGGGGGCAUUCAGUGCCGGAGAGAAGUUGUUAAGUCUGCUACUUGGGGAGUACGUCCGCAAGGAUGAAACUUAAAGGAAUUGGCGGGGGAGCACCGCAACGGGAGGAGCGUGCGGUUUAAUUGGAUUCAACACCGUAAAACUCACCAGGGAAGACUGUUACAUGAAGGCCGAGAUGAAGACUCUGCUAGAUUUUCAG